CCUUGAUAAUUUUACACUGUUUAAAGCUCUUUUUCACCUUUGGCCUUUAAAACCGUUUCUUACUCAUAUUUAUCUUUGAAUCUCGGUUCUACCAUUCGGAAAGCAACACACACAAAACACACACACGGCCCUUGUAGUACAGUAAGCACACAGGAUAUUAAUGGCACAAAUAAAUAUAUAUUUAUUUUUAAUAAAUAUACAUCCUUAGACUACACAUUUUCUUGUGAAAUGUACAGACUUAUUUUGCAGUUUUUAUAGGCUCCUACUGAAAUGUACAGAAAUAUUGUGCAGUUUAUGCAGGUGAUCCAUAGUAUUUAAGGGCACGAUCAUCAUUGUUUAAGGUCCGUUACUCAUUUAAAUAGCAGUGAACACCAUUGAUAAAGGUGUCAAUGCACUAAAAUUGUUGCCAGUGUGGAAAGAACAUUCUGAGUUCCCAGCCGCAAAAAAGUGUUUAAUACCAACCUUUUGACUGCAUUUUGCAGGAACUCAUAAUUACAUGAGAUAUUUAAACAUUUAUUAUAUAUAUGUAAUUUUGUAU